rnacentral:rRNA from 1 species
CGAAAGCCUGAUCCAGCUAUAUCGCAUGAAUGAAGAAGGCUCAAUUGGUUGUAAAAUUCAUAGUUUCAUUGUAGAUUAUGACAUUGAUGAAAUGAAUAGUCCCGGCCAACUCCGUGCCAGCAGCCGCGGUAAUACGGGGGGGGCGAGCGUUAUUCGAAAUGAUUGGGCGUAAAGAGCACGUAGACGGUUUUUUAAGUGGACAUUAUAUCUUUUUUGUUCUGUAAGGAUAAAAAAGAAAGGAUUAUGGAAAUAUUUCUGUACUCGGGAAAAAGACCAAGGCUCAACCAUGGUGUUUCCCGCCAAACUAAAAAACUAGAGUAAGUUAGAGGAAAGUGGAAUUCCUGGGGGAAAGGUUAAAUUUUAUGAUAUCAGGAGGAACGCCCAAAGCGUAGGCAACUUUCUACUGCUUAACUGACGUUGAGGUGCGAAAGCAUGGGGAUC